UACUUGUGGAUUAUUGUGAUGUUUUUAUCAGCUGUUUGGACUCUCAUUCUGACGGCACCCAUUCACUGCAGAGCAUCCAUUGCUGAGACACUGAUGCUGUGCUACAUUUCUACAAACCUGAUGAAGACACAAACUCAUCCUAAUCUUAGACGAACCGAGGUUGAGCACAUUUUUCAGCAUGCUCAUUUCUUAGUGAACUUCUCUAAAGUCAGUACAUACUGGAGUCAUUAGAAAGCAUGUGUUUAAUGAAGAGGUUCUGCUCAUCUCUUGGUGAUUUCAGCUCUGUUCUUUGCUCUAGUACCGUAUGAAGACAUCAACAUGUGCAAUACAAGAUUUUGCUUUAAUCGAAUCGUGACUUGUUUCUUUCUUGGCUGUAUCUCUCUCCAUGUUUUCCGCAUGAAGAGUCCUGGAAGUGUCUCAUCUCGUGUCCGAAUGGAGUGUGGUCUUCUACUUGGAAAUUUCAAAUCUUAUGCAGCAGACUGAAGUAACAAACCAAUUUCCCCUCUGAACGCUGAGAACAGUCGCUCAAGACGGCCGUCAACGGCUGACUAUCUAAAUGCAAAUGCAGAUGAUAAUUCCAAGAGCCCCGACACCAAAUGAGGUUAUUCAAGCCGCGUCACACUGGAAACUGGCUUGUUUGAAAUUCCCCUCAGGACACGGGAAGUGACCACAAUCCUGGGAAAUAAUUCAAUGAUAGUGCAGCAGUGAUGGAAGAAAAACUGAAAACUCAUUUGAGCAAAGUAUAUUCGUCAUCAAACACGGACGAGGAGAGAUUGAUCAUGCAAGUUGAGAAAUGCCAGAUUUUCUCAAAGUUUCUCAUCACAAUGAUGCCGCCUGGAGAAACAUCUCAGGAAAAUACAAGAGCUGAAGAACGACACACAUCAGCUGUGAGAACACAAACACACAUGCCAGAGAUUCCAGCGACACGACCAGGAAAAAUUCCCAUAAUGCUUUCACCGUGACGCGUCAGAACCACAUCACCCUCACAUUUUCUUGACACAGCUUUUACAACAUGCAUUACUAAUAAUUCUGUGAGUUUUGUC